rnacentral:tRNA from 3 species
GCCGCGGUGGCGGAACUGGCAGACGCACAGGACUUAAAAUCCUGAGUCGCUUAGGCGAUGUGAGGGUUCAACUCCCUCCCGCGGCA